rnacentral:sRNA from 1 species
UCCACUUGAUAGGGAUUAAUCACAUGAACAUGACUGUCAAUGCCUCCCGCAGUCACAAUAAGCCCUUCAGCAGAGAUCACUUCGGUUCCCGCACCGAUAAUCAGAUCGACACCAUCCAUCAGAAGCGGAUUACCACUUUUCCCAAUACCGGAAAUUUUACCGUCCACAAUGCCAAUAUCCGCUUUAUAGAUACCGGUAUAAUCUACAAUAACCGCAUUCGUAAUUACGACGUCCAGCGCACCAUCUGCACGGGUUGCGAGUGGAUGCUGCCCCAUGCCGUCACGAA